GUCCAGACUCCUACGGGAGGCAGCAGUGGGGAAUAUUGCACAAUGGGGGAAACCCUGAUGCAGCGACGCCGCGUGAGUGAAGAAGUAUUUCGGUAUGUAAAGCUCUAUCAGCAGGGAAGAAAAUGACGGUACCUGACUAAGAAGCCCCGGCUAACUACGUGCCAGCAGCCGCGGUAAUACGUAGGGGGCAAGCGUUAUCCGGAUUUACUGGGUGUAAAGGGAGCGUAGACGGCAUGGCAAGUCAGAUGUGAAAGCCCGGGGCUCAACCCCGGGACUGCAUUUGAAACUGUCAGGCUGGAGUGCAGGAGAGGUAAGUGGAAUUCCUAGUGUAGCGGUGAAAUGCGUAGAUAUUAGGAGGAACACCAGUGGCGAAGGCGGCUUACUGGACUGUAACUGACGUUGAGGCUCGAAAGCGUGGGGAGCAAACAGGAUUAGAUACCCCUGUAU
rnacentral:rRNA from 1 species